AGCAUGAUGCAAUCGUAUGUAGUUUGACCCAAAACCACUAAAUUCUUGGCAAAGCCCAAGAAAAGAAGUUUCGAUAUAAACUCCUCAAUUUUUCUCCUAUCCAAUAUGGGACGAAGCAAAACAAAGAGUUGGGAUUUGGUUGGAAAGGAUAUUGAGUUUUCAAUUCCCUCCAAAACACCAACAAAAAAAAAAAUAUCCUAGUUCAACAAACCACCG
rnacentral:lncRNA from 1 species